rnacentral:rRNA from 1 species
GAACGCUGGCGGCAGGCCUAACACAUGCAAGUCGAACGGUAACAGGAAGCAGCUUGCUGCUUCGCUGACGAGUGGCGGACGGGUGAGUAAUGUCUGGGAAACUGCCUGAUGGAGGGGGAUAACUACUGGAAACGGUAGCUAAUACCGCAUAACGUCGCAAGACCAAAGAGGGGGACCUUCGGGCCUCUUGCCAUCAGAUGUGCCCAGAUGGGAUUAGCUUGUUGGUGGGGUAACGGCUCACCAAGGCGACGAUCCCUAGCUGGUCUGAGAGGAUGACCAGCCACACUGGAACUGAGACACGGUCCAGACUCCUACGGGAGGCAGCAGUGGGGAAUAUUGCACAAUGGGCGCAAGCCUGAUGCAGCCAUGCCGCGUGUAAUGAAGAAGGCCUUCGGGUUGUAAAGUACUUUCAGCGGGGAGGAAGGUGUUGUGGUUAAUAACCGCAGCAAUUGACGUUACCCGCAGAAGAAGCACCGGCUAACUCCGUGCCAGCAGCAGC